rnacentral:rRNA from 1 species
AGAGUUUGAUCAUGGCUCAGAACGAACGCUGGCGGCGCGCCUAACACAUGCAAGUCGGACGCACUCAGCAAUGGGUGAGUGGCGGACGGGUGAGUAACACGUGGGAACCUGCCCUGGCUGGGAUAACUGCGGGAAACUGCAGGUAACACCGGAUGUGCCCUUUGGGGGAAAGUUUACGCCCUGGGAUGGGCCCGCGUCGGAUUAGGUAGUUGGUGGGGUAAUGGCCUACCAAGCCUUCGAUCCGUAACCGGUCUGAGAGGAUGAUCGGUCACACUGGGACUGAGACACGGCCCAGACUCCUACGGGAGGCAGCAGUGGGGAAUCUUGGACAAUGGGGGCAACCCUGAUCCAGCGACGCCGCGUGGGUGAUGAAGGCCUUCGGGUCGUAAAGCCCUUUUGCCGGGGAAGAUGAUGACGGUACCCGGAGAAGAAGCACCGGCUAACUCUGUGCCAGCAGCCGCGGUAAGACAGAGGGUGCUAGCGUUGUUCGGAAUUACUGGGCGUAAAGGGCGCGUAGGCGGCUCGUUUAGUCGGGUGUGAAAUCCCAAGGCUCAACCUUGGAACUGCAUUCGAUACUGGCGGGCUAGAGACCGGAAGAGGUGGGUGGAAUACCCAGUGUAGAGGUGAAAUUCGUAGAUAUUGGGUGGAACACCGGUGGCGAAGGCGGCUCACUGGUCCGGUUCUGACGCUGAGGCGCGAAAGCGUGGGGAGCAAACAGGAUUAGAUACCCUAGUAGUCC